rnacentral:lncRNA from 1 species
UUUUUUUUUUUUUUUUUUUUUUCUUCAUUUGGCCUCAAGUGAACUCAUGCAUGUGGCUGUACUCUGCAGGAGGAGUGGCUGAGGGCGAGUUGGUCUACAAUUGCCCACGACUGGUGAUUUGUUCUGGCUUUCAGUCGGUGUUGGUUUUUGGUCACAGUUACAGAGAAAAAUGUACACAUGUACCUAGCAGACUAAUUUGGGAUUAUUCAUAUAGUGGCAAUCUUAAGAUUCCCAGAAGCUUCAAGACAGGGUAAACUUCAAUGCUCAAGUGCUUUCCAAGACUCCGAGUUAUCUCACUGACCAAUAUAAGCCACAUUGUCCCAAUGGCAAAGCUCAGAAUUAGGUGAGAGUUGACUAACCAAGGCCAUGGACACAGGGAGAUAAAAGCAAAUUGGAACUGAACAAUCUACCACAUCUAAUCAUGACGUUGGUAUACAGUUUAAAUAAUAUUAUGUACAGGACUCUAUGUUUAUCAAAUGCACAGAUGUAAUAAACAUUCAGUAAAUGGGAAUGAUGAAGAUGAUUAUGCAUAGAUCAUUGCUAAUGUGGCAUAUAUAAUAGUCAUUUACAGUUGAGGAAAAUGUCUCAUGGGGGAGAGGAGAUCUGGAUUCUAGUCUAGCUUUGCUAUUGUAUGAUCUGAAGUAGAGUACUGGGACCAGAGGGACUAUGAGUAGUUUAGGCACAAUGGACAGACAAAUGGUAUUUCUUUAUUAAUUGCUACUUCACUAUAAUUCUUCCACCACCACUUCUACCUUCAUCUCAUAUCCCACCCCACUAUACUGUUCCACAUUACAUGCCCAGCUCACUGCAACCACUUUUUUCUGUCCACCACCUCUGCCACUGCAUACAUGACCUUCUAUAGAACCUCUCACUCCAUGUCGGUUUUCCUGGGUACUUUUUUCUCCGAAUCUGUAACUAUGUUAUUAGAAUGUUUAAGUUUCUUGUAACUGAAUUACCAACUGAAGUGUCUUAAACACUGAGGAAUUAUGACCUCAUAUAGCAGCUCUGUUGUAGGAAGCAGUUAUGAGUUGAUUGAUUGUUUCAAAGACUGAAUAAACAAUGUCAGUGCUAAGAGAUUGCUUCUCUGAGAUCCUCUUUGGUUUUCCCUCACUGCUAUUGCAAGAUGGCCAUUAUAUCUUCCAAGCAUUCUGCUCUCACAAAAAAACAUCUAAAGAAAAGAGAGAAGGGUCUUUUCCCACUCCCCACUUCCGGCCUUCCCUCUCCUUUUGUUUAUUGUCAGAAAGAUAACCUUCUCUCAGAACCUCCUUCCUUAUUUCUCAUUGACUAAAAUGUGAACACAUGAUCAGAAGAAAAGGAGAGUAAGAUUAUUGUUAUCAUGGUUAGAUCAGAUACAUCAUGGUUUAUCUCCUAAAACUAGGAAGGGGCCCAUAUUCCUUGGAUAUAUACAUUGUUCAAGGACAAUUGCUUCUUAAAGGUUUAAUCUUGACUCCCAUAAAAAUAUGAAAUGAACAGGUAUCAAAGAUUUUAUUUAACACAUUAACUAAGGGCAGAACCUGAAAAUGUAUUACAAACAGUUCCAAAGAGAAUCCAAAGACCAAAACAAAUAUGUAAGAUUAUCACAGUUUCUGAAUUUAAUUUAUUUAAUUAGGGCAAAACUGGACUCUUCUACUGUAGAGGGGGUAAGUCAACUGAAUCUCCAAGGAACAGAACUUAUUUGCAUCCCAUAGACAAGAAAUACUUGUUUUACCACCAGUGUUCUAUAAGUUAAUUUCUAUCUCUACAGGAUUGUAAAAUAGCUUGAAGACAAUGAAAAGCACAAAUAACAUAAUAACAGAUUCCUUGAGAGAGUGAGCUCCAAUCAAUACCCAGUUUUCAAUUGGAGACAUCUUAUAGUCUUUUGCUCCACUUAAAAGCUUUUCAAUUUUUUCUUACAAUAUAUGCAAAAUCAUUUUCUUAGCAAGGAAUGUAAGGGAAAUGGCUAUUGGAUAGACAACCAACAGUGUCUGCCACAAUAACAUUGCUGCGAAUUAGGAGGGACAUAAACACAUCGUAAUUUGCAGUGAGGCUUUCACACUGCUCUACAGGGAGCAUUUUGGAGGUAAAUUAUAAACCAGGAGAUACUGGUUGAGGCCAAGAAAGCCUGGUGAUUCUCCCUGAGUCUAAUCCUGAGCCUGUCAUGGGGAUGGGACAGCAACUUUGUAUCCUCACACCUAAGAAGUCGCUAAAAUUGCACAUUAAGAAUUGUAAUCAAGGGCAUUUCUGUCAUGGAGGACAGGACCCUGAAUGACUUCCUUUUGGAAACUGCAGAUUUUGACUUUUCUAAUAUACAUAACCAUUUCUGUUCCCAUUCUACCUCCUUCCUUGAUUUUUUUUUCUGCAUUUAGUGGAAGUUGAAUUCCGAGGGAAUUGUACCAGCGAUCAUAUACUAUUCAUUUCAGUCUGUUGACAGGCAAUUUUUCUGUAGUACCCUGCUGGGGAUUUGAUAGUGAGAGGGGGUGGUGUGAAAAUGUGAUAUCUGGUAUUUUUACAGCUUUUGUCCCCAAUCUGGUGUUUAUAGGCUGCUUUAUCCCUAUGUCUUAUACAAUUUGGGAUACUAUAUUUUUGUACCUUAAUUAGUUUCAAAAUUAAUAAACCAAAUGUUUUAUAUAUUUUUUAAAGUUCCAAACCACAUAGUGGUUUGCUACUGCUGCUAGUGGCUCAGCAAGCCUGUCAUAGGAAAGAAAUCUAGUUAGGCUUUUGCUAAAUGCUACAUUUUACGCAGAUAUAUUUUGCACAUACACUUGUGUUUUUGUCUCUAAUUGUUCCUUGAUAAAGAAUUGCUCACAUUGUAAAGGAAUAACUUUUUUUUACAUGGUUAUAUUGUAACUAUCUAUAUGCUCAUUGACCAUUUCCAAGGCUAAUUCCAAUUCUGCCUAUGAAAACACUGCUUUCUUGGAAUUCCCAUUGUGGUGCAGGUGAAAUGAUUCUGACUAGGAACCAUGAGGCUGCAGGUUCGCUCCCUGGCCUCACUCAGUGGGUUAAGGAUCCGGUGUUGCCAUGAGCUGUGAUAUAGGUCGAAGAUGCAGCUCAGAUUCUGAGUUGCUGUGGCUGUGGAGUAGGCUGGCAGCUAUAGCUCAGUUCAACCCCUAGCCUGGGAACCUCCAUAUGCCAAGGGUACAGCCCUAAAAAGAAAAAAAAGAAAACACUGCUUUCUCAAGGCCAGUGGCUGUCAGAUUUUAAUGCUCAUCAGAAUCACAUGGGGUGUAUGGCAGGUGGUGGGGUGCUUGUUAAAAUACAGAUGGCUGGAUUCCAUACCAGAGUUUAUAAUUUACUAGGUAUGAAUGAACCCAAGAAUUGGCAUUUCUAACAAGUUCCCGAGUGAUGCUGAUGUUGCCAGCGUAUGUUGCCAGUCUGGGGUGAAUAAUUUGAGAACCAGAACUCUAGGCCAAGUACCUUCAGGUCAGAGAAGAUGGUCAGCUCAGGAGGCAGCCUACUUGACCUUCCAUUAUCUUGAUCCAGUGAAAAUAUUGCUAUGAAUGAUCCAAAUGACAAACCAUUAAAAAUCAGUGUACUGCAAUCAUUCUAGGACUUUCAGCUAAUGUUAAUUGUUGGUGUAUGACAUAGAGAGGAGGAAGAGUCUGAACUCAAGACCAGCAGACCCGUAAACCUGAGUACUAUUCUUAGUGUGCACUGUCUAUACCACUUUGGCCCACCACUGUCUCUGUAAGUUUCACUGAUAGACAAAGAUUGUGGACUGCUGGUUGCUUAGGGCCCUUGUAGCCCUGCUCUUUCCUGAAUCUGAUCCUAACCAGAUAUCCAAAGAGUGCACCAGGCCCAUGACCUGCAUGGACAUCUUGAGCCAAGAAAUCUAGCAGGACAGGGCACAGUAUCUGCCUCAGAAGCCAUAGCUGUGGUUUGGCCAACCAUGACUGAGAGAGUGAAGAGAACAGCUAAGGGGAAUUUCAAACUAUUCAAGAAUAUGUGUCCCAGGUGAAAUUAAUCUGAUUAGCAGGGUAUAAACUUUCCUAUCUGAUGGAGCUCUCAGGGAAUUACUAAUGAUCUCAAGCUGCCUGAUACUAUUUUACACCCUUUCACAACUGUGUUCUCAGCAUUUUUUCAGCAUCAAAGUUCCUCAAUUAAAGGAAUAGUACCACCUCCAUCUUUUCAGUCGAAACUCUGGGGGCUUUCCUAGGAAGUGUUCUAGUUAACUAACAGGCCUGCCUCUUCUUGGCUGUAGGCAUAUGAAGUUCACAGAAGAAAGUCGGGACGCUUUUGAUUUCACCCCAUAGUCUUAGAGACUAUGUAAAGCUUAUGGCAAGUAGACAGGAGGGCAGAGACAAUUUGAAGGGACAACUGUUUCUGCAUCUUCUGGUCCAUUGCAUAUGUGUGUAUAUGACAUGCCUUUGCCAAACUGUGGACCUUUAGGUAAAGGGCUGUGCUCUCUCCAUCUUUACCUAAUUAAUAAGUUUGUCUUUUGAGAAGCCUUGGAACAGAAGAGAUUCGUAAGGUUUGCUGUGUGGAUCAACACAUGGAAGAUUGAUUUGCAUGUUUUUCUCAGAAAAUUCUCCAAAAUCCGUAAUGUUAUUAACAAAGGAAGAAUAAACAAUCUUUAUAUGAAACAGGAAGUUAUGUUGAAGGCUCAGAAACUGCAUUGCCUCAAUAAAAACCCAUUUAAUGGAUGGAUAAAUUUUUCUAUAGAAAUUUCAGUGAAAAUGGGAUAGUUUGGUGGCUUGCAAAACUAACAUCUCAAUUUCUAAGUCAUCAUAAACUUUCAUUGGGUCCCAAAAGUAACCAUGCAAUUAAAAAGUAUAUAAGUAAAUGGCUUCCCCUGAUCUUGACUCUGAGUCAUAGAUUUUUUUUAUUCCUCUUUAUUUUAAUAAUAAUACUUAUUAUGAAGAUAAUAAUAACAAUACCAACAUUAAUUGGGCACUAAGACCCAGACCCUGUGAAAAUCUUUUGUUAGUUUAAUACUCAUGGCAAUCUGAGAAGUAGUUACUGUAAUUAUCCUCAGAAAGAUACUUCCUCAAGGGCAUUGAGCUGGUGAUGCAUCAAGGAAGGAUUUUUGCCAAGGAAGUCUUCUGACCCCAGUGCUGUGCUUCUCAUCACUGCACCAUAUGAGAAGUUUGCAGAUAAAGGAACCUUUGGAGAUAUAGCCUAUAGUAGGUUGAAUCAUAGCCCCCAAACAUUUCUACUUCCUUCUGCUUGAAACCUGUGCAUGAAUUACCUCACAUGGAAAAACAGACUUUAUGGUGGUGAUCAAAUUAAGGAUCUUGAGAUGAGGAGCUUAUCCUGGAUUCUCGAUAUGGGCUUACUAUAAUCACAAAGGUCCUAAUAAGAGGAAGACAGGAGGGUCAGAGUAAGACAACAUCAUGGCAUGAGAGGAGCAGAGGUCAGAGUGAGGUAGGGCCAUGAGGCCAGGAAUGGAGGCAGCCUGUACAAGUUGGAAACAGCACAGAGACUUUCCAAAAGUCUCCAGAUGAAACAAAGUUCUCCUGACGCAUUUUGGACUUCUCACCUCCAGAACUAAGAUCAUAAAUUUGUGUUAUUUUGAGACACUAAGUGGUCAUUAUUCCAAAUAUUUGUUUUGAGUAAUUUGUUACAACAGCCAUGGGAAACGGACAUGCCACCGUCAGAAUUAGGCGGUGGCGAUCCUCUGCCCAUGUUAGGAAGACGCUAACGCAAGGCUCCACACCUACUGUAACUGUAUCACAGGCCUUAAUCUACAGAGAAAUGCCCUGUCAAUGUUGAGGCUCCCCAGAUUUGCCUGCUGCUUUCUUUACCAGUACAUAAAUACAUGCCAUUUCAGAAAGUGGAUGCCAUUCCCCACAUCUUCACAGCCAUCAAAAUAGCAAAACAGACUGAAAAUUGCCAUAAUAACACUUUAUUCUUGUCCUCACUUUGACUUAUAAAAUGACUUGCUCACAGAUUUGUAUAAAUCUCUGCUUCCCUUUGCUUCCUCCCUUCUUCCCAGAUCUUUCUUUACCCUCUUUGCUAAGAAAGUAAGCCCCUUAGCAGGUUUCCCUUCACUGACAUAGAUCCUGAGCUUUGUUUUUCUUCCUUUUUAAGUGAGCAUAUUUUUCCCUUUUAAUUAUAUUUAUAACAUGUGUUGGGUUAGCAACAAAAGAGAACUUUGAAAUGACAAACAUAAACAUGAGAAAUGCAGGGUCUAAAUUAAUUCCCCCUCUGAUUUAGAGGAAAGUAUGUUUGGUCCCUAUUUGAGGAUAUCAAAAUCAGGCAGUAGAGAAAAUUGUUUUAAACUUUAAAAAGAAGAGAAAGAAAAUUAAUACCUUUUACAUACCUACUGUCUGUUUGAUGCUUUGUGCGUUCUUUCCUAUUUACUUCUCAUACCAUGUAAAUGUUACAUAUUUCCUGCAUUUUUUGAAGAAGAGUAAAAUAACUGUGCAAGAUCUCAUAGCCUUGAAAGAGGAAAAUCACGUGGUUACUGAAGUCCAGAUUACUGUAAACUCCAUGAAGAGCAGGGUUCUGUCCUAUGCUGCCUCCAAGAUGAAGAGUCUCUUAUCAUCAUGGGCUACCAACAAGUAGCUUUCUGAGAAUGUCCUGAUACUUAUGAGCAGGUUAGGGUCCUACUUUUGUUCAUGCCAUUUCCCUCCCUUUUGGAAGAUGUCUGCUUUCUGAACCAGCCCUCCACUUCUAAGCCUCCUCUUGUCCUCUAGCUUGUGGAAAGUUUUCCUGUUCAUUAAUUCAUUCUUCCCUCUUGUGAACAGGUCACGUUUGAUAGAGAUGAAAUGCAUGGCAGAGAAGGCCCAUGUGACAUUUUCCUGGUGAGCCUGGUCUAUGUACACCAUGCUUCACCCCAGAAUAUGAUGGAUUCUCAUCCACUGGAGAAACAGGAUAGUACUUUGUGGCAUCUCUUGUCAUUAGUUCCAGAUGUUGGUGUCUGUCACAAAUAUAUCUGACCAAGAUGAUACUUUUAUAAUGUUAUCUGAUAUAUAAGGGGGCAAAGCAUAUAUUUGGAUAAGAAAGUAUAGGGGAUCAAAACAGAAUAGUGGAAUAAGGAAAAGUCAUAAAAGGGGGACUUAGUAGGAAAAAGAAAAGCUUUGUGAUUUCAUGUUAAGCAAAUGAGACAAGACUAUGCACUCUUGGAGGUCUGGCAAAUAGUUGGUCCCUUGACAAGCAUAGGCUCUCUUUUUUCCAUUGCACUUUGCAGGUGUAGACCUCAAUGUUGCCUAAAACCAAAAUGGAAUCCUUUUUGACAAGAGAAAGAACAUUUGGUGGACAAUAGGCUGUCUCAGUACAGUGGCUCUUCUGUGUUUGCCUUCUUACCUCCCCCAAUUCAUUUUCUGCUCUACUCUGAGCUCUUUGAGCACGAACUUAUACCUCAUUCAGUCUUCCAUGACUUCAUUGUCUCCUUAGGUUUAGCCCGUGAAAGGCACUAACAGGAGAUUUUAGGGUGGGAGAAAAGAAAAUUUAGGACAUUUCUUUCCUGCUCCCUUCUUAUUAGAUAUUAUAGUCAGGUGAUGUCUAUACCAGUUUAUUGCUAUAGAUAUUGACCCCUUUUCCAUAAAUCCAUCUCUUACUGGGCUUCGGUAACAGUUUCUUUCUUUUGCCCCUCAAUAUGCAGGAGUAGUAGUGACUUUGUGCUAUUGUUAAGCUUUGGGUGCCUCAGCCUCCCUGGUUGGUCACCUUAACCUGCAGGCUCCGAAUGCAAAUAGUUCCUUCAUUAAAAUCUCUUCAACCCAACCAUCUGCGUAUAAAUUGUUUCCUGCUGACACCCCAACUGAGGCACAAUUCCCUUUUCAAAACCUUCUGAAUAGAGAAUUUUCCUGCAAAAAUGAUGAUUUAGUUUUUCAGUUUUGUCCCAGUAUCAGAGCUAGCCAUGUUUUUAAAUCUCAAGUUCAUUUCUUUGCUUGUUUUCCUUUGUAAAUGGAUAAAUAACCUCACCUCUUCCUUGGGAAAAAAAUAAGGUAAAAAAAAAAGUGGCAUGGGUCUUGUCAAAUUAAUGCCUCCCUAGAAAUAAUUUUCAUUGUAGAUAUAGGACCUUACAGUAUGCAGCUUUCUUAACUUAGUACAAAAUAUCUCUGACAGGGGUUUUCCUUGCCAUACAACAGGGUGACAGUGGUGUUCCAUUCUACCUGUUUCUAGGCCCUACCAUGUGGCUUCUAUGGCUGCAUAAUACCUGUGUCCCUAAAUGUCCCAGAUAUUCUUAGAAAAUUUAACAUAGCUAUCUGCAAUAAAAUGUUAUGAAGAGUUGGAAUCUUACUUCAACCAGGCAAAAGCCUGAUUAAAAAGAUCUUGUGCUGGCCCUGAAGGUCAGUAUUUAUGGCACUAUAUUAUUUAUAAAUAAUGUGAAAAUUAUUAUAGCAAUAAAAGUUGGCGUUCCGAAGAAUGGGCAUAUUAGGGAUGGCUAAAUUAUGGUGACAUUGAGAUCAUAGGUCACAUCUGAAGCUUUCUUUCAAACCCAUGGAAAAUUACCACCAACUGGACUGCAAAGCUACAGUGAAGUUUUGAAAGACAUAAAGAAUAGUGAGAAAUUCCUAUACACCAGAGGAAUAAGGAAGGCUAGGUUGACCCAAGAGGCUGGGAGCAUCUUAUUCAGAGAGUAAUUCAGUGCAUUUUCUCAGUCUCAAGAUGGGCAACAUUUCUUCCUAACUCUUUCCUCCCUGAAUCUGAGUAAAGCCCUGCUCCAAUCA